UACGUAGGGGGCAAGCGUUGUCCGGAUUUAUUGGGCGUAAAGAGCGUGUAGGCGGCUUGGUAGGUCCGCUGUGAAAACUCGAGGCUCAACCUCGAGAUGUCGGCGGAAACCACUUGGCUAGAGUCCGGAAGAGGAGAGUGGAAUUCCUGGUGUAGCGGUGAAAUGCGCAGAUAUCAGGAAGAACACCUAUGGUGAAGGCAGCUCUCUGGGACGGUACUGACGCUGAGACGCGAAAGCGUGGGGAGCGAACAGG
rnacentral:rRNA from 1 species